AUGAACGCUAGCGGCAGGCUUAACACAUGCAAGUCGAGGGGUAGUUGUCUUCGGAUAAUGAGACCGGCGCACGGGUGCGUAACGCGUAUACAAUCUACCUUUUACAGAGGGAUAGCCCAGAGAAAUUUGGAUUAAUACCUCAUAGUAUUUUUGAAUGGCAUCAUUUGAUUAUUAAAGUUCCAACGGUAAAAGAUGAGUAUGCGUCCCAUUAGCUAGAUGGUAAGGUAACGGCUUACCAUGGCAACGAUGGGUAGGGGUCCUGAGAGGGAGAUCCCCCACACUGGUACUGAGACACGGACCAGACUCCUACGGGAGGCAGCAGUGAGGAAUAUUGGACAAUGGGCGCAAGCCUGAUCCAGCCAUGCCGCGUGCAGGAAGAAGGUCCUAUGGAUUGUAAACUGCUUUUAUACAGGAAGAAACACACCCUCGUGAGGGUACUUGACGGUACUGUAUGAAUAAGGACCGGCUAACUCCGU
rnacentral:rRNA from 1 species